UAUUCUAUGAAGAGCAGACUACUGCCGUCACUCUUAAUCUAAUUUCUCUGAACUAUGCUCACCAAUCAGUCAAUCGCCGAUUCACCAUCAUCAUCAAGUGUUACUUCACAAAAAGAGAAGUGCUGAGGCUACCAAUUUCUUCUUCGUCUCUCUAUCAAUCACCGAUACUUCGAUAUUUGGGUUUUUGAUGAUUUAGGUAUUGAAUGUCAAGAUAAUCAAGCUAGUAAUACAAGCGAGGAAUAAGAACUGUUGCUUGGGAUGACCACAUCAAAUGCAACUCCAACUACAAGUACAACUCAACAAACAAAAGUUGGAUCUUCCUCUCAAGCUGCAUCUCACACAAAUGAAUCUGAAACUGCAACUCUAACAAGUACAGCUGAAGCGGUUGAAGUUGGUGAUAGCAAAAAGAAGCACGGCAAAGUGAGAUCUGAUGUUUGGUUGGAAAUGACAAGGGUUAGUGAAACUCAUGCUCAAUGUCCUCACUGCAAGGUCAAAUAUGCUUGCUCACAAUGACGUAAAUGGCACUGCUGGAUUACGAAAACAUUUGAAUAGAUGUCCAAGAAAUCCUAACAAGAAGAAAGAUUAGUGAAACUCAUGCUGAAUGUUAUCACUGCAGCCAUCCUUUUUUUGUUUGCAAGAUGAUUUCAUUUCAUUUCUUGUCGUAGAGACAGACUUAUGGAAAUGUUAAACUUAACUAUGUAAUGUUGAACAUUGAACUUAUGGAAAUGUUAAUUUAGUA